CAUUAUUGAAUAUUAGAAUUAGAUUGUCGCUGGCUUUAUUGCAUGUGCACAUCUAACUUAUACACACACUUGUGAACCUAUUGUAGAUCGCGAGAUCUAUGUCUUUCAUCAUCACAUAUCAUUGUAUGUCUAUAGAAUGUAAAAAAUAAUAAUACAACUUUCAGCAAUGGAUCUCUUGGUUCUCGCAUCGAUGAAGAACGCAGCGAAUUGCGAUACGUAAUGUGAAUUGCAGAUUUUCAGUGAAUCAUCGAAUCUUUGAACGCACCUUGCGCUCCUUGGUAUUCCGAGGAGCAUGCCUGUUUGAGUGUCAUUUAAUUAUCAACCAUUUAGUCUUUGAUUAGACUUUUUGGAUUGGAUUUGGGAAUUGCUGGCCUCGUCAGCUGUCCUUAAAAGCAUUAGCAAGUGAUUAUGUGCACGGCCUCUAACGUGAUAAUGAUCGUUGUGGGCUGGAAGCGUAUGUUUGCUUUAUUGUAUAUAUACAUUAGUAAUGGAAGCUCAAAGUGAAAGUGGAGUUAUGUGUAAAAGCAUAAUAAAAUGGAAGCUUGAGAGUGAAAGUGAGGAUGUAUAUUAAGUUGUGUAAUAAGCAUUAGUAAUGGAAGCUUUGAGUGAAAGUGAGCUAUGUGCGAAAGCACCAUAGUAAAUGGAAGCUUUGAGUGAAAGUGAGGAUGUGUAAGGCAUAACCCCUUGAAAUUUGACCUCAAAUCAGGUAGGACUACCCGCUGAACUUAAGCAUAUCAAUAAGCGGAGGAAAAGAAACUAACAAGGAUUCCCCUAGUAACUGCGAGUGAAGCGGGAAAAGCUCAAAUUUUGAAUCUGGCAGUCAUGUUAGGCUGUCCGAAU
rnacentral:rRNA from 1 species